CCGCGAAACUGCGAAUGGCUCAUUAUAUAAGUUAUCGUUUAUUUGAUAGUACCUUACUACUUGGAUAACCGUGGUAAUUCUAGAGCUAAUACAUGCUAAAAAUCCCGACUUCGGAAGGGAUGUAUUUAUUAGAUUAAAAACCAAUGCCCUUCGGGGCUCCUUGGUGAUUCAUGAUAACUCCUCGAAUCGCAUGGCCUUGUGCCGGCGAUGGUUCAUUCAAAUUUCUUCCCUAUCAACUUUCGAUGUUUGGGUAUUGGCCAAACAUGGUUGCAACGGGUAACGGAGGGUUAGGGCUCGACCCCGGAGAAGGAGCCUGAGAAACGGCUACUACAUCCAAGGAAGGCAGCAGGCGCGCAAAUUACCCAAUCCCGACACGGGGAGGUAGUGACAAUAAAUACUGAUACAGGGCUCUUUUGGGUCUUGUAAUUGGAAUGAGUACAAUUUAAAUCCCUUAACGAGGAACAAUUGGAGGGCAAGUCUGGUGCCAGCAGCCGCGGUAAUUCCAGCUCCAAUAGCGUAUAUUAAAGUUGUUGUGGUUAAAAAGCUCGUAGUUGAACCUUGGGCCUGGCUGGCCGGUCCGCCUCACCGCGUGCACUGGUCCGGCCGGGCCUUUCCCUCUGUGGAACCCCAUGCCCUUCACUGGGCGUGGCGGGGAAACAGGACUUUUACUUUGAAAAAAUUAGAGUGCUCCAGGCAGGCCUAUGCUCGAAUACAUUAGCAUGGAAUAAUAGAAUAGGACGUACGGUUCUAUUUUGUUGGUUUCUAGGACCGCCGUAAUGAUUAAUAGGGACAGUCGGGGGCAUCAGUAUUCAAUUGUCAGAGGUGAAAUUCUUGGAUUUAUUGAAGACUAACUACUGCGAAAGCAUUUGCCAAGGAUGUUUUCAUUAAUCAGGAACGAAAGUUAGGGGAUCGAAGACGAUCAGAUACCGUCGUAGUCUUAACCAUAAACUAUGCCGACUAGGGAUCGGACGAUGUUAUUUUUUGACUCGUUCGGCACCUUACGAGAAAUCAAA
rnacentral:rRNA from 1 species